rnacentral:tRNA from 1 species
GUCAGUGUGUCAUAGUGGUUUGAGUGUUGGACUACAACUCUGGAGAUCUGGGUUCAAUUCCUAUCUUGGCCA